rnacentral:lncRNA from 1 species
AAUAUUAAUAAAUAAAAAUACAAAAUAAUAUUCCAGAUAUAUAGUAUGUUAACUUUAAAAACAGCGACAAUCGACAUCUAACAUAAAUUAUUGAGAUCAAGAUAAAUUGUAACUUGGUAAAAGCAUGGAAGUAAUAUUCAAAUAUGCAAUUCCUUGGUAAAAGUAAAUAUAUAAAUAAAUAAAUUAGAAGACUAUUGUCAUUUGGCGAUUAACUGAAGAUUUGUUUGAAUAAAUUUAAUAAGCAUUUUGAACUCUAUCUCUGGCUGGUUAAAUUUACGCGUAAAUGUGCUGAUGAAAUAUUAAAUUACCAUAAAUUAUGAUUUGCUUUUCUCAUGGUCCAGUAUAGUGUCUGUGUUUUUGGAAGAAAACAAACCAAAAGUUAUAUUUAACAAGAAUGUGUCCUCAGUACACGAAUGCCCCACUCGCACUAUCAUUUUCUAUGUUCAGUAGACCGUGAAAUUGGGGUAAAAUCUCUAAUUUUGCAUUAAAAUUAGAAAGAUCAUAUCAUAGGGAACAUGUGUACCAAGUUUGAAGUCGAUUGGACUUCAACUUCAUCAAAAACUACCUCGACCAAAAACUUUAACCUGAAGCGGGACAGACGGACGAACGGACGAAUGGACGAACAGACGGACGGACGGACGGGCGCACAGACCAGAAAACAUAAUGUCCCUUUACUAUCGUAGGUUGGGCAUAAAAAGUCCAAAUAGGAUUGUAGAUGUAAAUGUAUAAACCAAAAGAUAUGAUAUUGGUUCACAUUAUUUCAAAUUGAAGAUGAAACAAUUAGUUAUUGAAAUCAGGUUUUUAUAACUCGGGCAAGUAUAACUUUUAAAAUUAAUUGUUGAGUAUCCAUAACAAAAAUCAUAAAGUUAAUCAGAACCUUUACAAGCGAUCGCUUUCCGUCUCCGUUUCUGAAAAACGUACUAGUACUGCGUUGAUAUUAUUAAAAUCCAGACAAUAAAAUGAUAACUGAUUGAUACACAAAUAAAUCACAAAGAAUAGGUGCUAUUAUUCAAGGUUAUCAAGAAUUUGACUAUAAUUACCGUUUACGUCCGUGAUGUUUAAGUGAUUAAGAUUAAUUUAAAUGUAGUUGUUCGACACAAGUUCAAACGUGUAUGAAAAAAUUAUACAAAAUAUCUCCAAAUAAACUUGCAUGGCGAAAAUCAGACACGCUACCGCUAUGCUAAAAAACGGUUAUUAAAUAACCCCAACUAAUUAUAUAAAGACAUUAUGUACCCAAACACAUGCAACAAAAUCCAUCAAUUUACAUAAAUUAUUCAGAGACACAAACACACACACCAAAGUAACAACAAUCAUGGACAUGCAACUAUGAUAGAUAGUUAACAUCAUGAAAACUGUCACAGUCUAUAAUACAUAUUUAAAAACAAAAAAUACUUAAAAUAAAUUAUAUCACAAUGGAAAGUAAAAUGCAUGGGAAUAAAAUUAAAAAAAAAUCAUAAAUUAAUUCAAUUUAAAAUGACCAGCAUAUAAUUAUCCGUAUA